GCCGGAGUAGCUCAGCGGUAGAGCACCAGUUUUGUAAACUGGGAGUCGUGGGUUCAACACCCACCUCCGGCU
rnacentral:tRNA from 1 species